UAGCUCAGUCAGUAGAGCACAAGGCUCUUAACCUUGUGGUCGUGGGUUCGAGUCCCAC
rnacentral:tRNA from 1 species